rnacentral:lncRNA from 1 species
UUUUUAGUAGAGACGGGGUUUCACCAUAUUGGCCAGGCUGGUCUCGAACUCCUGACCUCAGCUAUCCUCCUGCCUUGGCCCCCCAGUAUGCUGGGAUUGCAAGCGUGAGCAACCGUGCCUGGCCCAAAGUAUAUUUAUUUGACAUAUUUGGAAAUGGCCCUGCAAAGCUGUCUCCUGUGGGGAAAGUCUACAUUCUGUUGAGAAUCCCCUUUUCUAUUCAGGUGUUUUUCUUGAUCCAGGAGAUAAUUUACUAAGAAUCUGGCACCUUUCUUAGGUCUGUUAAGAGCUGUGAGGCCGUGCGUGGUGGCUCACAUCUGUAAUCCCAGCACUUUGGGAAGACGAGGUGGGUGGAUCGCCUGAGGUCAGGAGUUCGAGACCAGCCUGGCCAACAUGAUGAAACCUCGUCUCUACUAAAAAUACAAAAAAUUAGCUGGGCAUGGUGGUGGGCGCCUGUAAUCCCAGCUACUUGGGAGGCUGAGGCAGGAGAAUCGCUUGAACCUGGGACGCGGAGGUUGCACUGAGCUGAGAUUGCGACAUUGCACUCCAGCCUGGGUGACAAGCGUGAAACUCCAUCUCAGAAAAAAAAAAAAAACAACAAAACUCCUAAGCCUGCUACUUGGAGGCUUCACAUUGAUGAAACCAAAGUCUCCACAACCCCUUAACUGACACAUUCCUUUCUAUUGGCUCCAGGUCUUUAGAUAAUAACUCUGCCAACUAAUUGCCAAUGAGAAAAUCUUUGAAUCUGCCUGUGACCUGGAAGCACCCCUCCCCCAACCUCACGACAUUAUUUCAGUUGUCCCACCUUUCCAGACUGAACCAAUGUACAUCUUACACGUAUUCAUUGAUGUUUUGUCUCCCUAAAAUGUCAAAAACCAAACUGUGACCCAACCACCUUGGGAAUGUUCUCAGAAUCCCCUGGGGCUGUGUCCUAGGCCAUUGGUCACUCAUAUGUGGAUCAGAAUAAAUCUCUUCAAAUAUUUCACAG